ACAGCUGACUGGUGGGCGGGGCGCGCACGCCUGCAGCGUGUUCAGCAGCGCUCAGCUGCACUAUAAGAUCUGCGCUCUGACAGCUGGAGGACGCCAGAAUAUUAACUGUUGUCCGCUCUCGUGCCCCGUGGCUUCUCGUGUGGGAAGAUCUUUUUUUCGGACCUGGACAGCUUAAGUCUUGCUCCACUGGUUACCUGCCUCUGGAUGUUUUUGGAUUGCCCCCAUCGAGCUUACAUGGUCUCGCCUGUUCGGACUGAAGAAGAACCCCUUCGGAUCAGCCUGGUUCCUACUGCUGUCUCUGGACCCACCAGCGCUGCUCGGACCCUGCCCUACGCCUACGCCCACCGAUCAUCUGUUCACAACACUCCAUCUGGAGCUGAGUCCACUCCGCUUCCCCCUCGGUCCGGUUUCCGAGCCUUUGUGAUCGUUCGUGUUCCCACCCGAGUUAACACCUCUCGAGUCUCUCCUCCCGUGAUCGUUCCAUUUAGAACCAGUUUUCGUCUUGUGAUUACUUCACUGAACAAAUCUCCUGCAGUUUUAUUAAUAAAUACCUUAAACUGCUCCCUGUGUGCCGGUGUCCUCUGCAUGUUGGUCAAACAUAUCAAACCAAUCAUGACACCUUUUAAUAUAUAAAAAGAACGACAUGACAAUAUAUUUAUUUAUUAUAUCACAAACUAAUUCUUUGAAAGCUUUGAAAUUAAGAUGUACCCUUGAUAAUCCUUCGAGCAGUCUCCACCUUGGAUGUGAUUCUGGUAAUAG